UUCGAGAUUAUUUUUACGUGCAACAGAACCUUCAUUAAAAGAAGCCGAACACAAAAAGUUUCAUAUUUGUGUCGAUAUAAGGAAUAAGUGCUGUGCGCGUAAUGAGAUUUUAUCCUUUAACGGAUUACGUAAAAACCGCUUUUUGAGCAAAUAAAGAAAAAAACAAUGAGCAGGAGAAACCUGAUAUAAAGAGAGGAAAUUUUCGCUACCGAGAUUGUUGAGCGUUGCGAGUUUCAAAGCCAUCACGUCCUCUCAAGGAUAGUUGAAAAGUUGCUUAUACGAGGAUUAGUUACACACAGCGAUAAAAUAUGAAGUUAUCUGUGAUCCUUGGCAUUAUUUUUGCCGUCGCAACUGCCGGAGCAGAAGAAGUUGAAGGAAACACGGAUAAUGAAGAAGUGUUUCGAGAAGAAUAUUGCACGAAUACUCCAACUAAAGCCGAAAAUGAGUGUUCAAGUUUUAGAUGCAACAAGGAUAACACCAAAAUUAUUGGCGUUACGUGUACUGAAGCACGUUGCAGCGGUAAACCAGUAAGUUUCAAAGGUGAUCCUUCAAAGCCUUAUCCACACUGCUGUAUGGUUCCAAUUUGCGAAGAUUCUAAAUAAAGUGAAUAAGUGCUUUCAACUAUUUUAAAAGAUUGCAAGUUAUUUUGUUAUUGUGAUGUUAUUGUAAAAGUUUUUUCAAUGCAUAUUGCUUCAUAAUGAUUAUGCCUCAAACGGAAAAGAAUAUCAAAAUAUAAACUUCAGUUAAAAUUCAAAAACUGCACUUAAUUAUAAUAAUGUAAUUCAUCUUUAAUGUAAUUUGCAAUACUAGGAAUGAUAAAAUAAUCAAUUAAAUAGCACUAAAAAAUUUAUAAUAUCAAAAACUGAAUACGGAUAUAGGUUUUUAUGCGAAUUAUAUUUGAUAUUCGUCUAUUUAUUAGUUAUAUCACUUAGAAACAUUCCACUUUUAACUGAUUUACCGUUUUAACCCACGUUGCAUAUUAGCCUCAAUUCAAUACAAGCAUAGCAUCUUAAAGUCAACAUACACACAAGAGUAUUAGUGAUUCGCGCUACAAUUCAGCGAAAUGAAUCACAGAGUGGUGCGCCCGAUGUUGUUAAAUGCCUUGAUGAGACAUCGGCAUGCUUGAUGUACAAGGGGCAUUGAAAAAACAGUGUGGAAAGCAAUAAUAGAACAACCAAUUUGACGUUACGGGCACAGGUGUUAUAUGUUAACGAUACAAGAUUUUUUUUUAAAUGAAUAAAAUUUCUAUAAAAUACA